rnacentral:lncRNA from 1 species
CUCUUCCUCCAUUAAUAAAAGCCUCCUUUAUUUGAUUCUCAUCAUACUCCUCGAGUUGGAGAGAAUUCAUCCACGAAUUCUGAAUCCCUGCAUAUAACAAAGUCAGUUUAGUUUUACAAUUGAAAGUGGAAGAAAAAUGUAAACAUGACUUAGCAUUUGUAAAUAAUGGGAUUUCAGAAAAGGAUCGCCUCGUACCAAAGCAUCUUUCAAUAUCCUUGAAUCGGAGGCAGUUCCUUCCCAACCGGCUAAGACAU